rnacentral:rRNA from 2 species
ACUGCUCAGUAACACGUGGAUAACCUGCCCUUGGGUCCGGCAUAACUCCGGGAAACUGGAGAUAAUUCCGGAUAACGCAUAUAUGCUGGAAUGCUUUAUGCGUAAAAUGGAUUCGUCUGCCCAAGGAUGGGUCUGCGGCCUAUCAGGUAGUAGUGGGUGUAAUGUACCUACUAGCCUACGACGGGUACGGGUUGUGAGAGCAAGAGCCCGGAGAUGGAUUCUGAGACAUGAAUCCAGGCCCUACGGGGCGCAGCAGGCGCGAAAACUUUACAAUGCGGGAAACCGUGAUAAGGGGACACCGAGUGCCAGCAUCAUAUGCUGGCUGUCCAGGUGUGUAAAAUACACCUGUUAGCAAGGGCCGGGCAAGACCGGUGCCAGCCGCCGCGGUAACACCGGCGGCCCGAGUGGUGAUCGUGAUUAUUGGGUCUAAAGGGUCCGUAGCCGGUUUGGUCAGUCCUCCGGGAAAUCUGAUAGCUUAACUAUUAGGCUUUCGGAGGAUACUGCCAGACUUGGAACCGGGAGAGGUAAGAGGUACUACAGGGGUAGGAGUGAAAUCUUGUAAUCCCUGUGGGACCACCUGUGGCGAAGGCGUCUUACCAGAACGGGUUCGACGGUGAGGGACGAAAGCUGGGGGCACGAACCGGAUUAGAUACCCGGGUAGUCCCAGCCGUAAACGAUGCUCGCUAGGUGUCAGGCAUGGCGCGACCGUGUCUGGUGCCGCAGGGAAGCCGUGAAGCGAGCCACCUGGGAAGUACGGCCGCAAGGCUGAAACUUAAAGGAAUUGGCGGGGGAGCAC